AACGCGAAUGGCACUGUCACGUAAGUGGCAGUAUGUCUGUUUGAGAAUCGCAAACACGAUCAACUCUAGUUAAGAGUUGGAAUUGACCUCAUAUGCAGACUGCGUAUCUGGUUUGAAUGUAUUAAGUUGAUGAGCCUCCCAAUGUCGCUCAAUGUGUGCUAGCGAGACAGUCGUCCCGAUCUCACAUUCAUGCUUCGUUGCAGGGUUCUACUUUACAACUUUAUUAUCUUAUCAUAUCGAUUACGAUCUCAAAUCAGGCAAGAUUACCCGCUGAACUUAA
rnacentral:misc_RNA from 1 species